CUACGGGACGCUCCAGUGGGGAAUAUUGCACAAUGGGCGCAAGCCUGAUGCAGCCAUGCCGCGUGUAUGAAGAAGGCCUUCGGGUUGUAAAGUACUUUCAGCGGGGAGGAAGGGAGUAAAGUUAAUACCUUUGCUCAUUGACGUUACCCGCAGAAGAAGCACCGGCUAACUCCGUGCCAGCAGCCGCGGUAAUACGGAGGGUGCAAGCGUUAAUCGGAAUUACUGGGCGUAAAGCACACGCAGGCGGUUUGUUAAGUCAGAUGUGAAAUCCCCGGGCUCAACCUGGGCACUGCAUCUGAUACUGGCAAGCUUGAGUCUCGUAGAGGGGGGUAGAAUUCCAGGUGUAGCGGUGAAAUGCGUAGAGAUCUGGAGGAAUACCGGUGGCGAAGGCGGCCCCCUGGACGAAGACUGACGCUCAGGUGCGAAAGCGUGGGGAGCAAACAGGAUUAGAUACCCGGGUAGUC
rnacentral:rRNA from 1 species